rnacentral:rRNA from 1 species
UCUCUCUGAAUCUGCGAACGGCUCCGCAAACCAGUUGUAAACCAUAGCAAAGUCCUGCCCGGGUCCUUUCACCGGGACUCGCGGCAAAUCCAAGGAAGUAGAUGGAUAUCCCUGGUAAUUCUGAGGCUAAUACAUGAACGUCACCUCACCCCGGCCGGGCCACCGACGCGGGUGAGCGUGCGAGAAACAGCUGGCACACAGCUCUCGAAAGAACGCACGCUUUGACCACCGCCAAAGGAACAAUGCCGUCGUGCACAUUCCUGGUGGUCUUUGCAGCGGGCUUCUGACCUAUCAACUAGACGGCAGCGUAAGGGACAUGCUAUGGUGACAACGGGUACAGAGGAUUAGGGUUCGAUCCUGGAGAGUGGGCCUGAGAGAUU